GACGAACGCUGGCGGCGUGCUUAACACAUGCAAGUCGAACGAAGAGCGAUGGAAGCUUGCUUCUAUCAAUCUUAGUGGCGAACGGGUGAGUAACGCGUAAUCAACCUGCCCUUCAGAGGGGGACAACAGUUGGAAACGACUGCUAAUACCGCAUACGAUCUAACCUCGGCAUCGAGGAUGGAUGAAAGGUGGCCUCUAUUUAUAAGCUAUCACUGAAGGAGGGGAUUGCGUCUGAUUAGCUAGUUGGAGGGGUAACGGCCCACCAAGGCGAUGAUCAGUAGCCGGUCUGAGAGGAUGAACGGCCACAUUGGGACUGAGACACGGCCCAGACCCUACGGGAGGCAGCAGUGGGGAAUCUUCCGCAAUGGACGAAAGUCUGACGGAGCAACGCCGCGUGAGUGAUGACGGCCUUUCGGGUUGUAAAAGCUCUGUUAAUCGGGACGAAAAGGCCUUUCUUGCGAAAUAAGUG
rnacentral:rRNA from 1 species